UACGGGGGGGGGCAAGCGUUGUUCGGAAUUACUGGGCGUAAAGGGCUCGUAGGUGGCCAACUAAGUCAGACGUGAAAUCCCUCGGCUUAACCGGGGGAACUGCGUCUGAUACUGGAUGGCUAGAGUUUGGGGAGAGGGAUGCGGAAUUCCAGGUGUAGCGGUGAAAUGCGUAGAUAUCUGGAGGAACACCGGUGGCGAAGGCGGCAUCCUGGACCAACACUGACGCUGAGGAG
rnacentral:rRNA from 1 species